rfam:Ovis aries breed Texel chromosome 17, whole genome shotgun sequence.
UCCCUGGUGGACCAGUGGCUAAGAUUCUGCACUUCCAGUGCAGGGGGCCUGGGUUCAAUCCCUGGUCAGGGAA